UGGGGAAUUUUGGACAAUGGGGGCAACCCUGAUCCAGCCAUGCCGCGUGAGUGAAGAAGGCCUUCGGGUUGUAAAGCUCUUUCGGCCGGGAAGAAAUCGCACAGGCUAAUACCUUGUGUGGAUGACGGUACCGGAAUAAGAAGCACCGGCUAACUACGUGCCAGCAGCCGCGGUAAUACGUAGGGUGCGAGCGUUAAUCGGAAUUACUGGGCGUAAAGCGUGCGCAGGCGGUUUCGUAAGACAGAUGUGAAAUCCCCGGGCUCAACCUGGGAACUGCAUUUGUGACUGCGAGGCUAGAGUAUGGCAGAGGGGGGUGGAAUUCCACGUGUAGCAGUGAAAUGCGUAGAGAUGUGGAGGAACACCGAUGGCGAAGGCAGCCCCCUGGGCCAAUACUGACGCUCAUGCACGAAAGCGUGGGGAGCAAACAGG
rnacentral:rRNA from 1 species